rnacentral:rRNA from 1 species
CAGUAGCCACGGUAAUACGAAGGGGGCUAGCGUUGUUCGGAAUUACUGGGCGUAAAGCGCACGUAGGCGGAUAUUUAAGUCAGGGGUGAAAUCCCAGAGCUCAACUCUGGAACUGCCUUUGAUACUGGGUAUCUUGAGUAUGGAAGAGGUGAGUGGAAUUCCGAGUGUAGAGGUGAAAUUCGUAGAUAUUCGGAGGAACACCAGUAGCGGAGGCGGCUCACUGGUCCAUUACUGACGCUGAGGUGUGAAAGCGUGGGGAGCAAACAGGAUUAGAGACCCCAGUAGUCCCUGUCUCUUAUAA